rnacentral:rRNA from 1 species
GAUGAACGCUGGCGGCGUGCCUAAUACAUGCCAGUCGAGCGAACAGACGAGGAGCUUGCUCCUCUGACGUUAGCGGCGGACGGGUGAGUAACACGUGGAUAACCUACCUAUAAGACUGGGAUAACUUCGGGAAACCGGAGCUAAUACCGGAUAAUAUAUUGAACCGCAUGGUUCAAUAGUGAAAGACGGUUUUGCUGUCACUUAUAGAUGGAUCCGCGCCGCAUUAGCUAGUUGGUAAGGUAACGGCUUACCAAGGCAACGAUGCGUAGCCGACCUGAGAGGGUGAUCGGCCACACUGGAACUGAGACACGGUCCAGACUCCUACGGGAGGCAGCAGUAGGGAAUCUUCCGCAAUGGGCGAAAGCCUGACGGAGCAACGCCGCGUGAGUGAUGAAGGUCUUCGGAUCGUGAAACUCUGUUAUUAGGGAAGAACAAAUGUGUAAGUAACUAUGCACGUCUUGACGGUACCUAAUCAGAAAGCCACGGCUAACUACGUG